UAAGUAUACCGGAAGGUGUGCUUGGAAA
rnacentral:rRNA from 6 species